UUAAGCGACUAAGCGUACACGGUGGAUGCCCUGGCAGUCAGAGGCGAUGAAGGACGUGCUAAUCUGCGAAAAGCGUCGGUAAGGUGAUAUGAACCGUUACAGCCGGCGAUGUCCGAAUGGGGAAACCCAGUGCAAUUCGUUGCACUAUCGUUAACUGAAUACAUAGGUUAACGAGGCGAACCGGGGGAACUGAAACAUCUAAGUACCCCGAGGAAAAGAAAUCAACCGAGAUUCCCCCAGUAGCGGCGAGCGAACGGGGAGCAGCCCAGAGUCUGAAUCAGCUUGUGUGUUAGUGGAACGGUCUGGAAAGUCCGACGGUACAGGGUGAUAGUCCCGUACACCAAAAUGCACAGGUUGUGAACUCGAAGAGUAGGGCGGGACACGUGGUAUCCUGUCUGAAUAUGGGGGGACCAUCCUCCAAGGCUAAAUACUCCUGACUGACCGAUAGUGAACCAGUACCGUGAGGGAAAGGCGAAAAGAACCCCGGCGAGGGGAGUGAAAAAGAACCUGAAACCGUGUACGUACAAGCAGUGGGAGCACCUUCGGGUGUGACUGCGUACCUUUUGUAUAAUGGGUCAGCGACUUAUAUUCUGUAGCAAGGUUAACCGUAUAGGGGAGCCGCAGGGAAACCGAGUCUUAACUGGGCGUUAAGUUGCAGGGUAUAGACCCGAAACCCGGUGAUCUAGCCAUGGGCAGGUUGAAGGUUGGGUAACACUAACUGGAGGACCGAACCGACUAAUGUUGAAAAAUUAGCGGAUGACUUGUGGCUGGGGGUGAAAGGCCAAUCAAACCGGGAGAUAGCUGGUUCUCCCCGAAAGCUAUUUAGGUAGCGCCUCGUGAACUCAUCUUCGGGGGUAGAGCACUGUUUCGGCUAGGGGGUCAUCCCGACUUACCAACCCGAUGCAAACUACGAAUACCGAAGAAUGUUAUCACGGGAGACACACGGCGGGUGCUAACGUCCGUCGUGAAGAGGGAAACAACCCAGACCGCCAGCUAAGGUCCCAAAGUCAUGGUUAAGUGGGAAACGAUGUGGGAAGGCACAGACAGCCAGGAUGUUGGCUUAGAAGCAGCCAUCAUUUAAAGAAAGCGUAAUAGCUCACUGGUCGAGUCGGCCUGCGCGGAAGAUGUAACGGGGCUAAACCAUGCACCGAAGCUGCGGCAGCGACACUAUGUGUUGUUGGGUAGGGGAGCGUUCUGUAAGCCUGCGAAGGUGUGCUGUGAGGCAUGCUGGAGGUAUCAGAAGUGCGAAUGCUGACAUAAGUAACGAUAAAGCGGGUGAAAAGCCCGCUCGCCGGAAGACCAAGGGUUCCUGUCCAACGUUAAUCGGGGCAGGGUGAGUCGACCCCUAAGGCGAGGCCGAAAGGCGUAGUCGAUGGGAAACAGGUUAAUAUUCCUGUACUUGGUGUUACUGCGAAGGGGGGACGGAGAAGGCUAUGUUAGCCGGGCGACGGUUGUCCCGGUUUAAGCAUGUAGGCUGAUUGUCCAGGCAAAUCCGGAUAAUCAAGGCUGAGGUGUGAUGACGAGGCACUACGGUGCUGAAGUAACAAAUGCCCUGCUUCCAGGAAAAGCCUCUAAGCAUCAGGUAACAUUAAAUCGUACCCCAAACCGACACAGGUGGUCAGGUAGAGAAUACCAAGGCGCUUGAGAGAACUCGGGUGAAGGAACUAGGCAAAAUGGUGCCGUAACUUCGGGAGAAGGCACGCUGGUGUGUAGGUGAAGUCCCUGCGGAUGGAGCUGAGACCAGUCGAAGAUACCAGCUGGCUGCAACUGUUUAUUAAAAACACAGCACUGUGCAAACACGAAAGUGGACGUAUACGGUGUGACGCCUGCCCGGUGCCGGAAGGUUAAUUGAUGGGGUUAUCCGUAAGGAGAAGCUCUUGAUCGAAGCCCCGGUAAACGGCGGCCGUAACUAUAACGGUCCUAAGGUAGCGAAAUUCCUUGUCGGGUAAGUUCCGACCUGCACGAAUGGCGUAAUGAUGGCCAGGCUGUCUCCACCCGAGACUCAGUGAAAUUGAACUCGCUGUGAAGAUGCAGUGUACCCGCGGCAAGACGGAAAGACCCCGUGAACCUUUACUAUAGCUUGACACUGAACAUUGAGCCUUGAUGUGUAGGAUAGGUGGGAGGCUUUGAAGCGUGGACGCCAGUCUGCGUGGAGCCAACCUUGAAAUACCACCCUUUAAUGUUUGAUGUUCUAACGUUGGCCCCUUACCGGGGUUGCGGACAGUGUCUGGUGGGUAGUUUGACUGGGGCGGUCUCCUCCCAAAGCGUAACGGAGGAGCACGAAGGUUAGCUAAUCCUGGUCGGACAUCAGGAGGUUAGUGCAAUGGCAUAAGCUAGCUUGACUGCGAGCGUGACGGCGCGAGCAGGUGCGAAAGCAGGUCAUAGUGAUCCGGUGGUUCUGAAUGGAAGGGCCAUCGCUCAACGGAUAAAAGGUACUCCGGGGAUAACAGGCUGAUACCGCCCAAGAGUUCAUAUCGACGGCGGUGUUUGGCACCUCGAUGUCGGCUCAUCACAUCCUGGGGCUGAAGUAGGUCCCAAGGGUAUGGCUGUUCGCCAUUUAAAGUGGUACGCGAGCUGGGUUUAGAACGUCGUGAGACAGUUCGGUCCCUAUCUGCCGUGGGCGCUGGAGAAUUGAGGGGGGCUGCUCCUAGUACGAGAGGACCGGAGUGGACGCAUCACUGGUGUUCGGGUUGUCAUGCCAAUGGCACUGCCCGGUAGCUAAAUGCGGAAGAGAUAAGUGCUGAAAGCAUCUAAGCACGAAACUUGCCCCGAGAUGAGUUCUCCCUGAGACUUUAAGUCUCCUGAAGGAACGUUGAAGACGACGACGUUGAUAGGCCGGGUGUGUAAGCGCAGCGAUGCGUUGAGCUAACCGGUACUAAUGAACCGUGAGGCUUAACCUU
rnacentral:rRNA from 1 species